rfam:Stegodyphus mimosarum contig42724, whole genome shotgun sequence.
GCCUUCGUGGUGUAGUGGUCAGCACGCUCGACGCGUAACCGAGAGGUCCAUGGUUCGAUUCCCGGCGAAGGCG